GUCACGCCGACGAAAAGCAGUAUUUUGGCC
rnacentral:sRNA from 1 species